AAAAAGUGGAGAUCAGAGACCACUCAAAAAAACGGGGCGACACAAAAGCCAAACGAGUAGAAAAAAA
rfam:Bacteroidetes bacterium RIFCSPLOWO2_12_FTLL_35_15 rifcsplowo2_12_scaffold_3362, whole genome shotgun sequence.